GAAUGAAGAACGCAGCGAAAUGCGAUACUUGGUGUGAAUUGCAGAAUCCCGUGAACCAUCGAGUCUUUGAACGCAAGUUGCGCCCGAAGCCAUUAGGCCGAGGGCACGCCUGCCUGGGCGUCACACGUCGUUGCCCCCCCAUCUACUCCUUCGGGAUUGCGGGGGGCGGAUGAUGGCCUCUCGUGCGCCUCGUCGCGCGGUUGGCCUAAAUGCCAAGUCCUCGGCGACGCACGCCACGACAAUCGGUGGUUGCGAAACCUCGGUUGCCUGUCGUGUGCGGUCGUCGCGCAUCGAGGGCUCGAAAAAAUUGCCGGGCUUCGGCUCGACUUUCAACGCGACCCCAGGUCAGGCGGGGUUACCCGCUGAAUUUAAGCAUAUCAAUAAGCGGAGGA
rnacentral:misc_RNA from 1 species